GAUGAACGCUGGCGGCGUGCCUAAUACAUGCAAGUCGAGCGAACGGACGAGAAGUUUGCUUCUCUGAUGUUAGCGGCGGACGGGUGAGUAAUACGUGGAUAACCUACCUAUAAGACUGGGAUAACUUCGGGAAACCGGAGCUAACACCGGAUAAUAUUUUGAAACGCAUGGUUCAAAAGUGAAAGCCGGUCUUGCUGUCACUAAUAGAUGGAUCCGCGCUGCAUUAGCUAGUUGGUAAGGUAACGGCUUACCAAGGCAACGAUGCAUAGCCGACCUGAGAGGGUGAUCGGCCACACUGGAACUGAGACACGGUCCAGACUCCUACGGGAGGCAGCAGUAGGGAAUCUUCCGCAAUGGGCGAAAGCCUGACGGAGCAACGCCGCGUGAGUGAUGAAGGUCUUCGGAUCGUAAAACUCUGUUAUUAGGGAAGAACAUAUGUGUAAGUAACUGUGCACAUCUUGACGGUACCUAAUCAGAAAGCCACGGCUAACUACGUG
rnacentral:rRNA from 1 species